rnacentral:rRNA from 1 species
GUAAGGACGCGUAGGCGGGAUGCCAAGUCUGAUGUGAAAUCUAGGACGCCGGGAACUGCAUUGGAAACUGGUAACCUAGAGAAUGGGAGGGGGAGAUGGAAUUAGUGGUGUAGGGGUAAAAUCCGUAGAUAUCACUAGGAAUACCGAAAGCGAAGGCGAUCUCCUGGAACAAUACUGACGCUAAGGCGUGAAAGCGUGGGGAGCAAACGGGAUUAGAUACCCCGGUAGUCCACGCCCUAAACGAUGUUCACUAGUCGUCGGAAUGCUAGUCAUUUCGGUGAUGCACUUAACAGAUUAAGUGAACCGCCUGGGGAGUACGGUCGCAAGAUUAAAACUCAAAGGAAUAGACGGGGACCCGCACAAGUGGUGGAGCAUGUGGUUUAAUUCGAAGAUACUCGAAGAACCUUACCUAGCCUUGACAUUGAUUGAAUACCCUAGAGAUAGAGUAGUGCCCUUCGGGGAACAUGAAAACAGGUGCUGCACGGCUGUCGUCAGCUCGUGUCGUGAGAUGUUGGGUUAAGUCCCGCAACGAGCGCAACCCUCGUCCUUAGUUGCCAGCAGUGGGCACUACUCUGGGUCUUAGUUGUACAUUUUAAAACCAUCUAAAGCAUAAGAUGUGAGGCAGAUUUUUGAAGCCUUACUUUAUGUAAGGUGAGGAAAUCUAACGAAGCAGAUUGUGCUUUAGAUGGUUUCCCUACGGGUGGAUUAAAAAACAGCCACGUACUUCGUUACUCUAUCUUGAAGCAGAAUAACUGCUUCUGCGAUAGAGAGCCUUGUAAUUGACUAUUUUUUUAAACCAUAAAAUGAACAACUAAGACCCCAGAGUAGUGCUCAGCUGGGCACUCUUAAAGGAGACUGCCCUUCGCAAGGGAGGAGGAAGGUGAAGGACGACGUUCCAGUCAUCAUGGGCCCCUUUAUUGGCUAGGGCCUACCACACCGUUGCUAACAAAUGGGGCCGUAACAGAAGAAGUUUGCCGAAUACCGGCGAAGGUGAGCCAAAUCCUCAUUUAAAGGCGUUCUUCUCAGUCGGAAUAUGAAGGU